rnacentral:rRNA from 1 species
UACGGGGGGGGCAAGCGUUGUUCGGAAUUACUGGGCGUAAAGGGCUCGUAGGCGGCCAACUAAGUCAUACGUGAAAUCCCUCGGCUUAACCGGGGAACUGCGUCUGAUACUGGAUGGCUUGAGAUUGGGAGAGGGAUGCGGAAUUCCGAGGUGUAGCGGUGAAAUGCGUAGAUAUCUGGAGGAACACCGGUGGCGAAGGCGGCAUCCUGGACCAACACUGACGCUGAGGAGCGAAAGCCAGGGGAGCAAACGGG